AAAAUUAACAUUUUGCACUCAGCAACUUUUGUGACGGGAUACAAAAAAUAAAAUGACACAAUUACAAAAUAAAUUACAUUUGGGAGUCGAAACUAAUUAAACAUUGCAAGCAUAAUUAAAAAUAGAGUUGUUAACUAAGAAAUCAACUUGUUCUGUAUGAACGUAAGAUGGGAGGUAUAUUUCAAUGAGACAACAACCAAUCAACAAAAGAGGUC
rnacentral:lncRNA from 1 species